UGAAUCCAUAGGUUAAUGAGGCGAACCGGGGGAACUGAAACAUCUAAGUACCCCGAGGAAAAGAAAUCAACCGAGAUUCCCCCAGUAGCGGCGAGCGAACGGGGAGCAGCCCAGAGCCUGAAUCAGUGUGUGUGUUAGUGGAAGCGUCUGGAAAGGCGCGCGAUACAGGGUGACAGCCCCGUACACAAAAAUGCACAUACUGUGAGCUCGAUGAGUAGGGCGGGACACGUGGUAUCCUGUCUGAAUAUGGGGGGACCAUCCUCCAAGGCUAAAUACUCCUGACUGACCGAUAGUGAACCAGUACCGUGAGGGAAAGGCGAAAAGAACCCCGGCGAGGGGAGUGAAAAAGAACCUGAAACCGUGUACGUACAAGCAGUGGGAGCACGCUUAGGCGUGUGACUGCGUACCUUUUGUAUAAUGGGUCAGCGACUUAUAUUCUGUAGCAAGGUUAACCGAAUAGGGGAGCCGAAGGGAAACCGAGUCUUAACUGGGCGUUAAGUUGCAGGGUAUAGACCCGAAACCCGGUGAUCUAGCCAUGGGCAGGUUGAAGGUUGGGUAACACUAACUGGAGGACCGAACCGACUAAUGUUGAAAAAUUAGCGGAUGACUUGUGGCUGGGGGUGAAAGGCCAAUCAAACCGGGAGAUAGCUGGUUCUCCCCGAAAGCUAUUUAGGUAGCGCCUCGUGAAUUCAUCUCCGGGGGUAGAGCACUGUUUCGGCAAGGGGGUCAUCCCGACUUACCAACCCGAUGCAAACUGCGAAUACCGGAGAAUGUUAUCACGGGAGACACACGGCGGGUGCUAACGUCCGUCGUGAAGAGGGAAACAACCCAGACCGCCAGCUAAGGUCCCAAAGUCAUGGUUAAGUGGGAAACGAUGUGGGAAGGCCCAGACAGCCAGGAUGUUGGCUUAGAAGCAGCCAUCAUUUAAAGAAAGCGUAAUAGCUCACUGGUCGAGUCGGCCUGCGCGGAAGAUGUAACGGGGCUAAACCAUGCACCGAAGCUGCGGCAGCGACGCUGAUGCGUUGUUGGGUA
rnacentral:rRNA from 1 species